rnacentral:lncRNA from 1 species
GGUUGGAUACAGUAUAUUUCAUUGAUGGUACAUGAUAAGGUAGGGCUCCCCAAGCCCCUCCCCUUCUUCAGGGGGUCUGGGAUGGAAACUGGAGGUCAGGAGAUUCUCAAGUGUGUUGGGUGAUGAACGGGGGCAAGGACUCCCCAGCAGCUGACGGCCUCUCUCUUCUUCCUCUUGCUGGGGCUGGUGGUCCAGGGGGCUCUUACUCCUUGGAGGCCAUGUGGACCAUAAGGUCCACCACCCGGUUGCUGUAGCCAAAUCCAUUGUCAUACCAGGAAAUGAGCUUGACAAAGUGGUCAUUGAGCGCAAUGCCAGCCCCAGCGUCGAAGGUGGAAGAGUGGGUGUCACUGUUAAAGUCGCAGGAGACAACCUGGUCCUCAGUGUAGCCCAGGAUGCCCUUGAGGGGGCCCUCUGAUGCCUGCUUCACCACCUUCUUGAUGUCAUCGUAUUUGGCAGCUUUCUCCAGGCGGCAGGU